AGGAAAGUGGAAUGACCAACCUCCAAGGUGUAGAGCAAUAAAAUGUGACGCCCCGGCUAACAUUGAACACGGUCGUGUGUCUGACAAUCGUCAAGAGUACAAAGAAAAUGAAGAGUUGAAUUUUGUCUGUAAUGAGGGAUA